AUCNUCAUUAAGGUGAACAGUCACUUAAUUUGUUUGGCAGGGAAGAGAGCUUUUAAGAUAUUUUCCAAUUGAAUCGGAGAACAUGCUUCGAGUACUAUUUCUUGCGAGUGUGACUUUCGCAGUUGCUUGGAGUUCAUUUACUUACAAACCGUGCCAAGUGAGCACUGACGCAAUGAGACCAUGUCUUGGAGGUGAUGCCAGCUUUUUGAAUUGCAUGAUGGAAGGAUGUUGCUACAGGGACRGAAAAUGCUACCACACUC